AUUGAACGCUGGCGGCAGGCCUAACACAUGCAAGUCGAACGAGUGGCGGACGGGUGAGUAACGUAUGGGAAACUGCCCGAUGGAGGGGGAUAACUACUGGAAACGGUAGCUAAUACCGCAUACCAUCGGAUGUGCCCAGAUGGGAUUAGCUAGUAGGUGGGGUAACGGCUAACCUGGGCGACGAUCCCUAGCUGGUCUGAGAGGAUGACGAGCCACACGGGAACUGGGAAACGGUCCAGACUCCUACGGGAGGCAGCGGUGGGGAAUAUUGCACAAUGGGGGCAAGCCUAAUGCAGCCAGGCCGCGUGUUGGAAGAAGGCCUUCGGGUUGUAAGAUACGUUCAGCGGGGAGACGGUACUCGCAGAAGAAGCACCGGCUAACUCCGUGCCAGCAGCCGCGGUAAUUC
rnacentral:rRNA from 1 species